UAAUCAGAGGGAAGUAAGCGAAAAAUAGUGGCAUUGAAUUCAUCAGAAGAUACAGGUGUGCCAGCUGCAGCAAGCUCGUCAGCAAUAGCUUUAGCUUCGCGAAGAAAUUGAGCCAGUGGUUUGUCACCAAGAGUCAUGUUUUGCAAGGUGAUGUGUAAUUGGACUCUUCUAGCACUGUUGCUUAUGCCAAAUGUAUUUGAAAAAGCCAUCCAAGCUUCAAAGGCAGUAUCUAAACCAGUCACAUAAGGAAAAAUUUCCACAGUUAAAGAUGAUAAGAUCCAACUUAGUAAGAGUUGGUCUUCUUGUAACCACUCUAGAUAAUCAGAAUUUGGUCCUAAUUGAUUUGUUGUGGCAUUAAUUAUGGUGGAAGGAGGUGUCGGUGUACCAUUGAUAUGAUUGAAUAGAUUAUAACAUUUGAUGAUAGGAACAAAUUGAGUUUUCCAAGUCAGGUAGUUUAUUGGUUUAAGUCUUAUGGAAAAAGAAAGUUGAGCAUGAGGUAAAGUAGCAAAAAGACUUGGAGUGGUUUAUGUCGUUGAUGCUGUAGAGGUGGAAUUUGAAUGUUGAGAAGAAGUUGAUUCCAUGGUAGGCUCUGGUACCAUGUUAUAAGAUGAGAUAAUUGAGAGAAUUCUGUGUGUUUUCUAUUGAAUAGGAUAACUGAAUAUAUACACGGUUGUUUAUAACAAACUGCAAAAGAAUAGGGAGAUAUAGCUAACGUAUAACACUAACCCAUGUAUCCUAAAAUAUAGCUAAUUGAACUUAUCUAUCCUACUUUAUCUCUAACAGGGAAUAACAUUACUUGUCUGUUCCCGAUUGUUUUGGUCAAAGAGGCAUUCACUACGUUUAUAACAGUGGGACUACCUUCAAUAAGAUGAAACUUUUAUGAAAAGCAAGAAAACUUCAAAUAUUUGACUUUGGAGGGGGUUUGCUGGAGGAGAUUUUUUUGUCUCGUCCUUUAAAUAAAAUGGUUAACAGAUAUACAAGCAUUACCAAAAGUAAAAAAUCUAGCUAAACAUUAACAUACACUGAACAUUUUAAUGUAAUAGGUCAAAUGAUUAUGUCUUAUGUAAGUCUAACAUGAGCGACGAUGAGGUAAAGUGCUGAUAUUAUUACCUUUUCCAAUGCCUUUUGCACCCCAAAUUUCUGAGUUGAUAUAAAUGAAUUCAGAUAAACGCGAAUUGCCAGUGUUUUUCAACCAAUUUAUGGAAUUCGACAAAAGUAGAGAGAACCUCAUUUUUUUGUUUAAUUGGAAAUAACCAACAAUAACGAGAAAAGUCAUCCACAAAUAGAACAAAAUACUCUCCAUAAAAGGAUAAGUUGGGAGCUGGACCCCAUACAUCUCCAUGAAUCAAUUCCAAUUGUUUACUAGCAAUAGAACCAGUGAUAGGUAAAGAAAUCUGACAAUGUUUGCCUAAACAACAAACUUCACAGAGGCUUGAUGAUUUUAUUGAAUUACUAGGCAAACAAAACUUAUUAACAAUAAAGGAGACAGUUGAUUGUUGAGGAUGAUCAAGCCGAGCAUGCCAAUCAGGUGCAGCAGUCCGAACGAAUUUAAAAACCUUGGUCUGGCCUGUAAGGUCAUUGGAUGCAACAAUAAGAAGCCUAUAAACACCGUCAAAAGCUGGUCCCUUCAACAAAACCUGUUUAUUUGUCUAAUUCUUCACACUAAACCCAUCAGAGUCAAAUUUAAGGAAGUAGUGAUUGUCUUUGGCAAAUUUAUUAACAGACAAUAAUUGUUGUUGUAGGGCAGGCACAUGUAAAACAUUUUUCAAAUGAAACUGACUAUUACUAGAAGAUAGGGUAGUGUGACUAAUGUUUUUAAUAUGCAAACCAUGUCCAUUACCUAUAGUGACCACCCUUUGUACUCCUCUGAGAUUUCAAGUGCAGACAAAUCAGGAGUCAUGUGAUGAGAAGCAGCAGUGUCAAGAAACCAAUCAUUGGAAGAAACAUUUACUUUUGUGGCAUUGGCUGUGAUAUUAUCACGAUUAUAACGCUUGCGACACCACUUAGCUUGAUGAUUGUUGAGUCCACAGAUCUGACAAGGAGUAGGAAACCACUUUUUGUUUCCAGUUGAGGACGCACCAUUAUUUUUGUAACCAUUGUUUGCCUGGAGGCUCUGAUUAGAUGAAGUGUGUUGUCGAGCAACAUUGGCAACAACAGAGAUUGGUUUGCCAGAGUUCUGCAAGAGGAUCGGAAAAUGAUACCUGUGACAGGAUGAUAAUCAGAGGGAAGUAAGCGAAAAAUAGUGGCAUUGAAUUCAUCAGAAGAUACAGGUGUGCCAGCUGCAGCAAGCUCGUCAGCAAUAGCUUUAGCUUCGCGAAGAAAUUGAGCCAGUGGUUUGUCACCAAGAGUCAUGUUUUGCAAGGUGAUGUGUAAUUGGACUCUUCUAGCACUGUUGCUUAUGCCAAAUGUAUUUGAAAAAGCCAUCCAAGCUUCAAAGGCAGUAUCUAAACCAGUCACAUAAGGAAAAAUUUCCACAGUUAAAGAUGAUAAGAUCCAACUUAGUAAGAGUUG
rnacentral:lncRNA from 1 species